rnacentral:rRNA from 1 species
AGAGUUUGAUUAUGGCUCAGGAUGAACGAAAGCGAUAGGCCUAACACAUGCAAGUCGAGGGGCAGCACAUGAAGUAGCAAUACGGAUGGUGGCGACCGGCGCACGGGUGAGUAACGCGUAUGCAACCUGCCUACAACAGGGGAAUAACCCGUUGAAAGACGGACUAAUACCCCAUAACACAGGGAUCCCGCAUGGGAAUAUUUGUUAAAGAUUUAUCGGUUGUAGAUGGGCAUGCGUUCCAUUAGCUUGUUGGUGAGGUAACGGCUCACCAAGGCAACGAUGGACAGGGGAACUGAGAGGUUUAUCCCCCACACUGGUACUGAGACACGGACCAGACUCCUACGGGAGGCAGCAGUGAGGAAUAUUGGUCAAUGGACGCAAGUCUGAACCAGCCACGUCGCGUGAAGGAAGACGGCCCUACGGGUUGUAAACUUCUUUUGUAAGGGAAUAAAGUGUAGUACGUGUACUAUUUUGCAUGUACCUUACGAAUAAGGAUCGGCUAACUCCGUGCCAGCAGCCGCGGUAAUACGGAGGAUCCGAGCGUUAUCCGGAUUUAUUGGGUUUAAAGGGUGCGCAGGCGGGAGAUUAAGUCGGCGGUGAAAUUUUGCAGCUCAACUGUAAAAGUGCCUUCGAAACUGGUUUCCUUGAGUGUGGAUGAAGUAGGCGGAAUUUGUGGUGUAGCGGUGAAAUGCAUAGAUAUCACGAGGAACUCCGAUUGCGCAGGCAGCUUACUAAACCAUAACUGACGCUCGGCACGAAAGCGUGGGGAUCAAACAGGAUUAGAUACCCUGGUAGUC